rnacentral:rRNA from 1 species
AACGAACGUUGGCGGCGUGCCUAAUACAUGCAAGUCGAGCGUGAAAGUCCCUUCGGGGGCGAGUAAAGCGGCGGACUGGUGAGGAACGCGUGGGAAUCUGCCCUACAGUGAAGAAUACCACUGAGAAAUUGGUGUUAAUACUGCAUACGUCCCUUCGGGGAGAAAGGUAGCUUUAUGCUGCCGUUGUUGGAUGAGCUCGCGCACUAUUAGCUUGUUGGUGGGGUAAUGGCCUACCAAGGCGAUGAUGGUUAGCCGGCCUGAGAGGGUGAACGGCCACAUUGGGACUGAGAUACGGCCCAGACUCCUACGGGAGGCAGCAGUGAGGAAUAUUGCGCAAUGGACGAAAGUCUGACGCAGCGACGCCGCGUGGGGGAUGAAGGUCUUCGGAUCGUAAACUCCUGUUAAGUGGGAAGAAAGCCUGGGUAACCAGGGAUGACGGUACCACUAGAGAAAGCACCGGCUAACUUCGUG